GAUGAACGCUGGCGGCGUGCCUAAUACAUGCAAGUCGAGCGAACAGACGAGGAGCUUGCUCCUCUGACGUUAGCGGCGGACGGGUGAGUAACACGUGGAUAACCUACCUAUAAGACUGGGAUAACUUCGGGAAACCGGAGCUAAUACCGGAUAAUAUUUUGAACCGCAUGGUUCAAUAGUGAAAGACGGUUUUGCUGUCACUUAUAGAUGGAUCCGCGCUGCAUUAGCUAGUUGGUAAGGUAACGGCUUACCAAGGCAACGAUGCGUAGCCGACCUGAGAGGGUGAUCGGCCACACUGGAACUGAGACACGGUCCAGACUCCUACGGGAGGCAGCAGUAGGGAAUCUUCCGCAAUGGGCGAAAGCCUGACGGAGCAACGCCGCGUGAGUGAUGAAGGUCUUCGGAUCGUAAAACUCUGUUAUUAGGGAAGAACACAUGUGUAAGUAACUAUGCACGUCUUGACGGUACCUAAUCAGAAAGCCACGGCUAACUACGUG
rnacentral:rRNA from 1 species